GCCUUCCUCAAAAUGUACCAUAUUUUUUUCAUGUAAGAUGGCCGGAAAGAGAGGAAGGAUUCCUACUGGCAUUCCUCUUGCUGAAAGUCAGAACAUAAAGAUUUGGAUGACAUCCAGUAACUGAACUAAAACCAGUCCUAUGUCAAGACAGUGUAACAACCAGGGGAUUGUAGAUGCCAAGCACAGUUUCAGACACACUUGUGUUCUCCAGCAGAAGACAGUGACAUGACAGGAAUGGUAGCACAAGGCUCUUACUGUUAAAUUCAAUAAUUGAUUCUCCUGGAUGGAUUGUGACUCUCCAGAGGUUGCAAAGAAAGAAAGAGUUGAAUUAUGCUGCCACUUAACAAGAAG